CCACCCCUGCCCUCAGCCUCCUUCAAAGUGGCCGCUGGGGCUGGGGUCUGUCUUUGCAGAGGUGCCAGGCCACAUGCCCUGCCCACCUCUACCAGCUAUGCCGCCUCUGAAGUUCCUCCAGCGGCACUGAGGAGGGGCCCUGUGGUCGAGGGUGCAGUUAAACGAGGCCCGACCGGGUAGUUGAGCUCAGCUUGGCUGUACUUGUCUUCCUUGGACCUGCUGGGCACCCCCAGCCCUGUGACCUGAAGCAAGUGAGUCCCAAUCACCUCAUCUGUGCACUGAGAUGCAGAGUGGCUAUUUCUACUGCAUGUGGCUGUUGUGGGGACUGGGCGAGAGAGAUCCCCAAUAGGUGCUAUGAUUUUUCUCCCUGCUUUGCCCUCCAGCCAUACCCGGAAGCCCCCGAGUUUUGAUCUGGCCCAGGUAGACCGAUCAUUUCCUCCAAGUCCCCCUUCCCUGAGGAGCUGGCGUGCUUCAGUCUCACAGAAUGGGCAACUGAGGUUGAGAGAAAGGAAAUAACUUGUCCCAGGCCAGCAGCUGAGUCACGACCAAGGCACUUCGUUCUUCAUCUAGUGCGGCCUGUGCAGCCAAAAUGCCUUCCCAUGAGCUUGCCACAUAACCAUGGGUGGCUCACUGGACUUUCAUCUGGGCAAAGAGAAGGGUGUGCUGACACUACUCAUGGCUCCUUCAUCUGGGACCUACCCAAAUCCCGUGGCUUUGCUCACAAUCAUCUGAUCCUGUUGUGCCCAAGAUGCCUGCUCCCAUGCCUGGAUACCUGCUGCAGCUGCUCCAAGCCAGGACCCUGCCAAUCUGUCAUUUUAGAUCUUCAGCUCUGGGUUGGUCUUCCAGGUGCCUCUGCCUCCCAAGGAAACCCAAGGAACUCCGCCAGAAAGGGAAUGCCUAAAAGAGCAGCAGUGGGGACUGUAGGGGUCCUCCUGCCUGCCCCUUUGUUAUCCAGAGUGGGGCCCUGACUUGCCUGAAGUCACACAGGGACUCCGGUAUUCCAAUCCUCGGCCUUAAGAUCGCUGCUAUCCGGUUACUUCUAUCUAAAAGCCCUAGAGAAGUUUCGGGAGACACUCAAAGGGCCCUUGUCUGGUUUCCAGGCUGACCAACUCUAAUGGAGAAAAAGCUCACUCACUAAGCAUACAUCAAAUGCCAGGCGUAUAGAAUCCUUCAGUGGAGGGAUCAUUCUCCCCAUUUUACAGAGGAAUAA
rnacentral:lncRNA from 1 species